rnacentral:rRNA from 1 species
AGUGAACGCUGGCGGUAGGCCUAACACAUGCAAGUCGAACGGCAGCACAGUAAGAGCUUGCUCUUACGGGUGGCGAGUGGCGGACGGGUGAGGAAUACAUCGGAAUCUACUUUUUCGUGGGGGAUAACGUAGGGAAACUUACGCUAAUACCGCAUACGACCUACGGGUGAAAGCAGGGGAUCUUCGGACCUUGCGCGAUUGAAUGAGCCGAUGUCGGAUUAGCUAGUUGGCGGGGUAAAGGCCCACCAAGGCGACGAUCCGUAGCUGGUCUGAGAGGAUGAUCAGCCACACUGGAACUGAGACACGGUACGGACUCCUACGGGAGGCAGCAGUGGGGAAUAUUGGACAAUGGGCGCAAGCCUGAUCCAGCCAUACCGCGUGGGUGAAGAAGGCCUUCGGGUUGUAAAGCCCUUUUGUUGGGAAAGAAAAGCAGCAGGUUAAUACCCCGCUGUUCUGACGGUACCCAAAGAAUAAGCACCGGCUAACUUCGUG